UACGGAGGGUGCAAGCGUUAAUCGGAAUUACUGGGCGUAAAGCGCACGCAGGUGGCUGAGUCAGUCGAUUGUGAAAGCCCUGGGCUUAACCUGGGAAUUGCAGUCGAUACUACUCAGCUAGAGUAUGGGAGAGGGUAGUGGAAUUCCCGGUGUAGCGGUGAAAUGCGUAGAUAUCGGGAAGAACACCCGUGGCGAAGGCGGCCAGCUGGGCCGGUUCUGACGCUGAGGCGCGAAAGCGUGGGGAGCAAACAGG
rnacentral:rRNA from 1 species